GGCGGCGUGCUAUCAACGCUGGCGUNGUGCCUAACACAUGCANGUCGCACGAGAAAGGGUAGCAAUACCUGAGUACAGUGGCGCACGGGUGAGUAACACGUGAAUUAUCUACCUCCGAGUGGGGAAUAACUGAGAGAAAUCUUAGCUAAUACCGCAUAACACUUACGAGUCAAAGCAGCAAUGCGCUUGGAGAGGAGUUCGCGGCCGAUUAGUUAGUUGGCGGGGUAAUGGCCCACCAAGACGAUGAUCGGUAUCCGGCCUGAGAGGGCGCACGGACACACUGGAACUGAAACACGGUCCAGACUCCUACGGGAGGCAGCAGUGGGGAAUUUUGCGCAAUGGGGGAAACCCUGACGCAGCAACGCCGCGUGGAGGAUGAAAUAUCUUGGUAUGUAAACUCCUUUCGAUGGGGAAGAUUAUGACGGUACCCAUAGAA
rnacentral:rRNA from 1 species